rnacentral:ncRNA from 1 species
AGAAGUAGAGGUUGCGUUGUUAAUCAGUAGCAUUGAAGAUGUUUCAGCGACAGUUGAUUCUGUGUGAAAGGUGAUGACGCCGAAGCGGGGGAUGUGCUGAGAUAUCCUGCUGGGCGCAAGGCGAACAGGUUUGCGACUGUCAUCGUAAGAUGGGGAGCUACU